UACAGAGGGUGCAAGCGUUAAUCGGAAUUACUGGGCGUAAAGCGCACGUAGGCGGUUUUUUAAGUCAGAUGUGAAAGCCCCGGGCUCAACCUGGGAAUUGCAUUUGAAACUGGAAAACUAGAGUGUGUGAGAGGGGGGUAGAAUUCCAAGUGUAGCGGUGAAAUGCGUAGAGAUUUGGAGGAAUACAAGUGGCGAAGGCGGCCCCCUGGCACAACACUGACGCUCAGGUGCGAAAGCGUGGGGAGCAAACAGG
rnacentral:rRNA from 1 species